rnacentral:rRNA from 1 species
GAUGACGCUGGCGGUGCGCCUAAUGCAUGCAAGUCGAACGAGCCAAUCAGUUUCGGCUGUGCGGAAAGUGGCAGACUGCUGAGUAACACGUAAGUGACCUACCCCGAAGAGGGGGAUAAACCUGAGAAAUCGGGUCUAAUACCGCGUACGUCCCAACGGUUACGGCUGUUGGGGGAAAGGUUUUCACCUAUGGUGGAUUCCGCUUCGGGAGGGGCUUGCGGCCUAUCAGGUUGUUGGUAGGGUAAUGGCCUACCAAGCCUAAGACGGGUAACCGAUGUGAGAGCAUGACCGGUCAGAGGGGGACUGAGACACGGCCCCCACUCCUACGGGAGGCAGCAGCAGGGAAUCUUGCGCAAUGGGCUAAUAGGCCUGACGCAGCGACACCGCGUGGGGGAUGAAGGCUUUAGGGUCGUAAACCCCUUUUCUCGGGGAAGAGAGAGGACGGUACCCGAGGAAUAAGCUUCGGCUAACUACGUGCCAGCAGCCGCGGUAAUACGUAGGAAGCGAGCGUUAUCCGAAUUUACUGGGCGUAAAGGGCGAGUAGGCGGCUCAUCAAGUCUCAUGUGAAAUCUCCCGGCUCAACUGGGAGGGGUCAUGGGAAACUGGUGGGAUUGAGGGCAGUAGAGGAAAGUGGAAUUCCCGGAGUAGCGGUGAUAUGCGUAGAUACCGGGAGGAACACCAGAGGCGAAGGCGACUUUCUGGGCUGCACCUGACGCUGAGGCGCGAAAGCAUGGGGAGCGAACCGGAUUAGAUACCCGGGUAGUCCAUGCCCUAAACGAUGGAUACUAGAUGUGGGGGGUAUCGCCCCCCCCCGUGCCGUAGCUAACGCGAUAAGUAUCCCGCCUGGGGAGUACGGCCGCAAGGCC